rnacentral:rRNA from 1 species
UACGAAGGGGGCUAGCGUUGUUCGGAAUUACUGGGCGUAAAGCGUGCGCAGGCGGCUUUGCAAGACAGAUGUGAAAUCCCCGGGCUCAACCUGGGAACUGCAUUUGUGACUGCAAGGCUAGAGUACGGCAGAGGGGGAUGGAAUUCCGCGUGUAGCAGUGAAAUGCGUAGAUAUGCGGAGGAACACCGAUGGCGAAGGCAAUCCCCUGGGCCUGUACUGACGCUCAUGCACGAAAGCGUGGGGAGCAAACAGG